UCGAUCGUCACGGUUUGGGAGCUUGAGUAGCCCAUAUAUAUACGUUGGGGGCGAAACAAAGAGUGCCACCCUUUUUUUUAUAAAGAAUUUUUAAAAAAUCACAAACUGCCUUUUCAAAGGCAAUAAAGAAAUUGAAAAAAAUCACGUCGCGCACCAAUCCUUUUCCCAAUCAUCGAUGGUGAUCGUGCUGGAUCACGUUUAUUCUUCCUCAUAUACCACAGCCCAUAGCUGUCCACGAACCGAAUUAAAAACCAAACUGUCUUUCUCAAGACAACUCAGCGAAAUGAAUAAUAAUAACGAAAGAAAGGAGGAGGAAGAACAUCAAAAGGCGUUGGAAAGAGGCAUGCGCAGUACACGCAAAAGCGUGCCAAACUAGUAAAAGCCGGCCAUGACGGAAGGACGAAAGUUCAGCGAAACGCCGCUGCUACUCAACAACACGGACGCGGCGAAGAAGAACAAGAAGAAGAGGCUCAACCAGCAGUAGUUGAAUGCUAGUUAUUUUA